ACGGACGGUGUUAGUGGAAGGACAGGAAGUUCCGGGCAGACGCGCACCAUUCUUCAUUAUAAAGAAAGCGCCAGAACGGUGCAGUCAAGAAGAUAACCUUCGUGUCCGUUUCUAUUCAUUACUACAGGUAUGUAAUAGCACGUUUAAACUUUCUAAAGAAUAUAUGUACUUGAGAUUUCUGAAUUCGUUCACGAGCUCGUAAAAUGGCGGCGCCACUCGGUCUGCGUCAAUUUCUUUUAUUGCAACAAUAAUAACAAAAUUACACAUCAAUACAGGGACAUUCCUGUGAAUACAAUGAUAAAAAGUCCAGGCAGAGGGAGACAAUUUCACGGUUGCACUACUGUUUUGAAGCUGAAUGUAAUGAUUAUCAGUUUUCUACAUGUGUACUAAUAUUCACACACAUUACGUUGUUUCUAUCUUUAUCUAUAAAUGUUACUAUGGUGUGAACAGAUAUACUAUUGGUUUUGAUUGAAAUAAUACACCGAAGACGAGGUUAUUAAGGAAAAUAGUACAUAGUGCUGCCUACAACAUACUGCAACCUUGUACUAAAUGUUUUUUGAGUCAUUUAUGUGAAUUCAGGAAAUCUACUAUAGAUUAAGUGCACUUAAAUUGUGUAGCCUGAUUUAAAGUGUAUACUUUGUCUAAUGUGAAUUAAUUCAUGUUUUGUUGUCAAUGUUUAGCUACCAGAUCUAUUGAAAUGAGAUCAGUGCUUGACUUGGACAGGAGCUCACCGGAGCUGAGUACCGGCACCUCAAAUGUCUACUGUUUGAGCUCAUGUUCCUCUUAUAGAAUAUUAGCUCAACAGUAUUGUGGUGCUCCUGCACCUAAAUUGAAACAAUAUUUUUAGAGAAUAAAGAAAGUGCCAGAACUGUCAAGACUAACUUUUGUAUCCGUUUCUCUUUAUUACUUCAGGCCAACUCAGAUUAAGUCUGAGGGCGGAAACAUCAACAGUGAGGACAAACCCAGCCUGCCUCUCUCCUUCCACACGGAGUCCAAGCAUACAGUCACUGGGUCCUGAUUGUGACCGCGAGGCCCAGUUUGCACCGCAGGAUCCAGAGAUGGCAUCAGUGAAGCUGGAAGACUGCAGUCAAACACUGGAGCUGAAUGUCAACAUUAAAGAUGAAGAAGAGGAGGAGAAGAUUGGGAAAUCUGUUUCUCAUGGAAUUUCACACAGCCUUUGAAGAGGAGUGGGACAACAUUCCAGAGGCCACAAUCAACAGCCUGAAUAACUCUAUGUAAAGGAGAUGUGUCCUGGAGGAGGCAGCGGCAGCUACCCACUUCUCCAGUGCUUCAUUUGUAAAUUGGGAGGUGAUGGAACCAGAAGUGAAUCCAAGAGGGUGGUGACCUGGGGGGCUCUGAGGUACCAGAACACAUGAAAUAAAAUACCUUUUUAAUAAAGCAUUGCAUGCAUUA